rnacentral:rRNA from 1 species
GGCUAGAGUUUGAUCAUGGCUCAGGAUGAACGCUAGCUACAGGCUUAACACAUGCAAGUCGAGGGGCAUCAGGAAGAAAGCUUGCUUUCUUUGCUGGCGACCGGCGCACGGGUGAGUAACACGUAUCCAACCUGCCCUUUACUCGGGGAUAGCCUUUCGAAAGAAAGAUUAAUACCCGAUAGCAUAAUGAUUCCGCAUGGUUUCAUUAUUAAAGGAUUCCGGUAAAGGAUGGGGAUGCGUUCCAUUAGGUUGUUGGUGAGGUAACGGCUCACCAAGCCUUCGAUGGAUAGGGGUUCUGAGAGGAAGGUCCCCCACAUUGGAACUGAGACACGGUCCAAACUCCUACGGGAGGCAGCAGUGAGGAAUAUUGGUCAAUGGGCGUUAGCCUGAACCAGCCAAGUAGCGUGAAGGAUGAAGGCUCUAUGGGUCGUAAACUUCUUUUAUAUAAGAAUAAAGUGCAGUAUGUAUACUGUUUUGUAUGUAUUAUAUGAAUAAGGAUCGGCUAACUCCGUGCCAGCAGCCGCGGUAAUACGGAGGAUCCGAGCGUUAUCCGGAUUUAUUGGGUUUAAAGGGAGCGUAGGUGGACUGGUAAGUCAGUUGUGAAAGUUUGCGGCUCAACCGUAAAAUUGCAGUUGAUACUGUCAGUCUUGAGUACAGUAGAGGUGGGCGGAAUUCGUGGUGUAGCGGUGAAAUGCUUAGAUAUCACGAAGAACUCCGAUUGCGAAGGCAGCUCACUGGACUGCAACUGACACUGAUGCUCGAAAGUGUGGGUAUCAAACAGGAUUAGAUACCCUGGUAGUCCACACAGUAAACGAUGAAUACUCGCUGUUUGCGAUAUACAGUAAGCGGCCAAGCGAAAGCAUUAAGUAUUCCACCUG